rnacentral:rRNA from 1 species
GAUGAACGCUGGCGGCGUGCCUAAUACAUGCAAGUCGAGCGAACGGACGAGAAGCUUGCUUCUCUGAUGUUAGCGGCGGACGGGAGAGUAACACGUGGAUAACCUACCUAUAAGACUGGGAUAACUACGGGAAACCGUAGCUAAUACCGGAUAAUAUUUUGAACCGCAUGGUUCAAAAGUGAAAGACGGUCUUGCUGUCACUUAUAGAUGGAUCCGCGCUGCAUUAGCUAGUUGGUAAGGUAACGGCUUACCAAGGCAACGAUGCAUAGCCGACCUGAGAGGGUGAUCGGCCACACUGGAGCUUAGACACGGUCCAGACUCCUACGGGAGGCAGCAGUAGGGAAUCUUCCGCAAUGGGCGAAAGCCUGACGGAGCAACGCCGCGUGAGUGAUGAAGGUCUUCGGAUCGUAAAACUCUGUUAUUAGGGAAGAACAUAUGUGUAAGUAACUGUGCACAUCUUGACGGUACCUAAUCAGAAAGCCACGGCUAACUACGUG